CAGUAGCCGCGGUAAUACGGAGGGAGCUAGCGUUGUUCGGAAUUACUGGGCGUAAAGCGCACGUAGGCGGCUUUGUAAGUUAGAGGUGAAAGCCUGGGGCUCAACUCCAGAAUUGCCUUUAAGACUGCAUCGCUUGAAUCAUGGAGAGACGGGUGGAAUUCCGAGUGUAGAGGUGAAAUUCGUAGAUAUUCGGAGGAACACCAGUGGCGAAGGCGGCCCGCUGGACAUGUAUUGACGCUGAGGUGCGAAAGCGUGGGGAGCAAACAGGAUUAGAUACCCCAGUAGUCCCUGUCUCUUAUAA
rnacentral:rRNA from 1 species